UACCAGCACCCCGAGUGGUCGGGACGAUUAUUGGGCCUAAAGCAUCCGUAGCCGGCCUUACAAGUCCCCCGUUAAAUCCACCUGCUUAACAGAUGGGCUGCGGAAGAUACUAUAGAGCUAGGAGGCGGGAGAGGCAAGCGGUACUCGAUGGGUAGGGGUAAAAUCCGUUGAUCCAUUGAAGACCACCAGUGGCGAAGGCGGCUUGCCAGAACGCGCUCGACGGUGAGGGAUGAAAGCUGGGGGAGCAAACCGG
rnacentral:rRNA from 1 species